UACGGAGGAGGCAAGCGUCAUCCGGAAUUAUUGGGCGUAAAGCGUCCGUAGGUGGUUUAGUAAGUCUGCUGUUAAAGCGCGGGGCUUAACUCCGUAUCGGCAGUGGAAACUACUAGACUAGAGUGUGGUAGGGGUAGAGGGAAUUCCCAGUGUAGCGGUGAAAUGCGUAGAUAUUGGGAAGAACACCGGUGGCGAAGGCGCUCUACUGGGCCAUAACUGACACUGAUGGACGAAAGCUAGGGGAGCGAAAGGG
rnacentral:rRNA from 1 species